CUGGAGCAUAGUAAGUGCUGACUAAAUAUCUUUCGAAUGAAUGACUCUACUCUUCCUCAGCUGGACUCAUGAAUUCUGUCGGGUCCCAAAAUACGUGGUCUAAAGUCCUUUGGGCUCCUGCCGCUGCCAGCACUGAUCAUAUGCUCUUGACCCUGGUCGGGUGGGGGGAUGUCUGGAUACCUCCUCUGUGGAAAGAACUGGCCACACAUCCGCAGAGGUGACUCGGGCUGAGAACCCAGGCUCCUCCUCCCUUUGGUGACACGCCCCUCGGUCCCUCACUGGCACUUCUCCCUCCGGCCACACGGCGGCGUCUCGCCAUAGCGCAGCGGCCGAUGGUACAGCCCGCUCCCCCCUCGCGCUCUCGGACAGUGGGUCCUUCCACUUGUAGAAAAGCAUUGUGGGACGGAAGCCUGUCCUUUCUUCCUUUUGGUGCGAGCUUGCUGUGGUUUUUGCUCUGGGUCCUCUGGGAUGGCGCCUGGCUGUGGCCGCGUGGUCUCUCACGCAGGGGCGCCGGGCGGGGGAACGCGGCCACCCUGAGUCUGGUGAGUCGACUGCGGCGGCCUGUGUCCGAAGUGUCCGGGGCCGUGAACAAGGGCAGCGGCCUGGCCUCAGGCCUGCGUUCCCACGUUUGGAAACGGGGAGCUUCGUCGAUUUGUGUUUACAUCAUCGACUAUGCCAGGGAGUUCUCCAGAUAAGCCUGGUUUUAUUUUCGUCAGUGAAAAGGCCUUACCGUAUAACUGACUUUAUGCUUGCCCUGCCCCCGUAUAAAAUAACUUAAAAGCAGCGUGCCUGGUUACAGCUGUUUCCACGUGCGGUGCUCGUCGGGAGUGAUCACCUACCCUACAGGUGGAAGAUGGAUGCCUGAAGUGUAGACUGCUGCUAGCUGAAUACCAUCUGGGAGCAUAAAGGUGACCUGAAGGAUGUCCUUGGUGAGGAUUUUGAAAAUUUGAUCUUCACAAGAGUUGCCUGGAUCAUUUGAAAUUUCUGGGAGUCUGAGGAGUACUGACAUAAUUACCUGCUGGAGUCUGUAAAUACACAUUUAAGACAGUGAGGAUGUGAAUAAAUAUAUUAAUGCACUUUGGCAUUUGUGUUUUAAGUGAUUAACUGCCAGAAACAGCUAUUUCUAAAAAGUUAUAAGGGAGGAGGGGUUCUUUUUUGAUCAGUAUUCACUGCUGUCACCAUAAUUAAUAGCCUUAAAAUAGCUUGUGUUUGGCCCAAAGAGAAAUGUACUUUCUUCCAGUGACUCAAAAAUCGUGGCUAGAACUAGACUGAUUUCUAGUGACAGGUGUGCUUUACUGCACUCAAUGCGUAUUUUUCCUCCAACUAAAUUGUACAUUUAAUGUUGCCAUAUCUUCUGCCUUUGCUUUGCAGGAAACGACAAAUAAUGUAUAGAGGUAUUCAAAAAAUUUAUUGAAAGCACUGUACUAGGAGCUGAGAACACGAUGAUGAGCACAACACAGUUCUUCCCUUUGGAAACAUAGAUAAGGCUGCUGGCAGCUGUGGAGAGAACUGUACGUGGUAAGGGGGAGAUAUAAGAUGUCCUGCAUAAGUAUUUUC
rnacentral:lncRNA from 10 species